UCGCCAGCCAGGUGGUUUGGUUCAUGGUUAUCUGCGCGCUCGCAGCGGUCGGAAGAAAGACAAACUAAAUCUCCCUGGCUUUGGCGGAGGCGGCAGAUCCAGGGAGUAUUCUUUCCCGGAACGAGGGAAGGAGGGAGGUUCCUUGGAAGGCGGAGCAGGCUCGGCACCGCAGGCUGGACGCCCAACUUCCAGUCGCCGUCUCAUUUUGUACUAGUUAAUUAAUCACGGAAGUAAAAGAACCAUAUCAGCGCCGGAGUGCGAGAAUUCUAGGGGGUGGGAAGGCUCAGGGGUGCAGGAGACGCCCACAAGAAGGCCGGAAGGCCCUCGGUGGUCUCCAAGCAGCUUUUUAAGAACAGAAGAACAUAAGAAGAGCCUGCUGGAUCAGGCCAGUGGCCCAUCUAGUCCAGCAUCCUGUUCUCACAGUGGCCAACCAGGUGCCUGGGGUUGGUUCGGUAUGCAGAGGCUUGACAGCAAAAGUGAAAUGGGGGGCGAGGGGCGGAUUGGAUCGGCAAGAAGAGAUCCUCCAACGAUCAAGAGAGGUGUGCACAAUGAUCCACCUGAUGAAUGAUGCAGUGAUACAUGUGAUGUUCCUGCUUAUAGUGUAAAUAUGAUACUGUCCGUUCUCCACUGCCGCUGCGGACAACAUCCCCCUUGCUCGGAACUAGAAGGGAGGACUUCUUCUGAAGCACAAGAGCAUCUUUCAGGCACACCAGAAACAGGCAUCUGCCUAUAAAACAUGUGACAGAUGCUGAAAGAGGCUGAGGGUGGAGCUAUCAUGAAAAAGAAGCGCUCACUACCACUGACUCCCAUCACCUCCCCACUGCCACAGCCGACAACAACCCCCCUUGCUGGGAACAAGAAAGGAGAACUUCUGCUGAAGCAAAAAGAAGCAAGAUCAGAGGAAAGACUGCUUCUCCCCUUCUUGGCAGCCUGCCUGCCUGCCUUUCUUGGCUCCUGCUUUUCUUCUGCCUCCUUUAAAAAAAUCCUUCUUCUUUGUGAUACCACCCAGAUCUCAUUUCCACCCAGCCUGAUGGGGCUGAGGAGGAGUGACAAAGCUUGAGACUCUCUCUCUUCCCAUCUCAGGUUAAGUGCCUGUGCCAGCUUCCCCCCUUGCUACUACACUCCACCCUCCAUCUCUCUACAAAACCCUGCAGCAGUUCAGGGCUUCCCCCUUCCCAUGUGCAUGAAUGCCUGCAUGUGCUUGCAGGAGGGGCAGGUGUGUGUGUGGUAAUCUGUCUUCUGCUCCUCUCUCAUUCCCCAAGUGCACCCAAGCCAAGUCACCAGAUGAUCAUCCCAAGGCCUAAAAGCACUGACCCCUGUCCUCAAUCUAUUGACCCUGUUGUCUUCACAAUCUAGCACCACCACCACCACCACAUUGCUGCUUCUUGAUUAUUAUUUUUUAAGAAAAAAGCUCAGCAGGUUGGCUGAGGCUAGGGUCCACACAUUGCAGCUGAAAUUUAUUUAUUUAUUGUUGCAUUUAUAUCACAGCUUUCCUACUGUGUGUGUGUGUGUUUGGGACCCUCAGUAGUCCAUGCUCUGGUGACCUUCUGUUUGUAUACUGUAAUGCGCUGUUUGUGGGGCUUGAAGAUGGUUUGGAGUCUGCAGCUAGUGUAGAAUACAGCUGCUAGGUAAGUAAGUGGAGCAGCCUGAUGGGACCAUACGUCACUGGUCCUGAAUGCACUGCACUGGCUGCCAGUGAGCUACCAGGCCCAAUUCCAGGUGUUAGUGCUAGCAUACAAAGCCCUGAAUGGUUUGGUUGGAACCCAAGUAUCUAAAAGAACUUUUCUCAGUAUCAACCAUCUCAGACCCUACCAUUAGCAGGCGAAGCUUUGUUAGUGGUCCUGCCACCGAGUACUGCCCGGUUGGUGCUGACUCAUGACAGGGCCUUUUCAGAUGUGGCUCCGUUUGUGGAAUGCCCUCCCCAAUGAGGUGCAUCUGUCAUCAUCACUAUUAACUUUCAGGAGGAAUUUGAAAACAUUCCUGUUUACCCAGGCAUUUGAUGGCUGAAGAAGACUGUUCCUGGCAACCUGAAGAUCACUGAUGAAAUAAUGUUUUAAAGCUGUGUUUAGACUGUUU